rnacentral:rRNA from 1 species
CAGCAGCCGCGGUAAUACGAAGGGGGCUAGCGUUGUUCGGAUUAACUGGGCGUAAAGGGCGCGUAGGCGGGUUUUUAAGUCAGAGGUGAAAUCCCAAGGCUCAACCUUGGAACUGCCUUUGAUACUGGAAGUCUUGAGUCCGGGAGAGGUGAGUGGAACUGCGAGUGUAGAGGUGAAAUUCGUAGAUAUUCGCAAGAACACCAGUGGCGAAGGCGGCUCACUGGCCCGGUACUGACGCUGAGGCGCGAAAGCGUGGGGAGCAAACAGGAUUAGAUACCCCGGUAGUCCCUGUCUCUUAUAC